rnacentral:rRNA from 1 species
UACGUAGGGUGCAAGCGUUGUCCGGAAUUAUUGGGCGUAAAGAGCUCGUAGGCGGUCUGUCACGUCGGCUGUGAAAUCCCGAGGCUCAACCUCGGGUCUGCAGUCGAUACGGGCAAACUAGAGUAUUGCAGGGGAGACUGGAAUUCCUGGUGUAGCGGUGGAAUGCGCAGAUAUCAGGAGGAACACCGGUGGCGAAGGCGGGUCUCUGGGCUGUAACUGACGCUGAGGAGCGAAAGCGUGGGUAGCGAACAGG